rnacentral:pre_miRNA from 1 species
UAUAUACUCCCUCCGUCCCAAAAUUCUUGUCUUAGAUUCGUCUAGAUACGGAUGUAUCUAAUACUAAAACGUGACUUGAUACAUCCGUAUUUAGACAAAUCUUAGACAAGAAUUUUGGGACGGAGGGAGUAUAUG